UGUCUACUAAUUAUAGACCUGUAUGAAAGGCAAAAUGAGGGUCUAGCUGUCUCUUAUAACAAAUCAAUAAAACUGAUCUCCCAGUAAAAAAGCUGGAAUUCCAACAUAAGACCAGAAGACCCUGUGAAGCUUAAACUAAGCUAUUAAACCAAAUAAUAGCUACUUUAGGUUGGGGCGACCUUGGAAAAAAAAAGAACUUCCAAAAAUAUGAAACCCUCAUACCACACCAGGCCGACAAGCCACUAAACGACCCAGCCAAUGCUGACCAUUGAACCAAGUUACUCCAGGGAUAACAGCGCAAUCUUCUUCAAGAGCCCAUAUCAAAAAGAAGGUUUACGACCUCGAUGUUGGAUCAGGACAUCCUAAUUGGUGCA
rnacentral:rRNA from 1 species